UUUGUGUGUGUGUUUCUUUGUUUGUGCGUGUCAGUUUUGUUGUAUUUGUUUCUUUGUGUCUAUGUGUGAGUAAGACUUUGUAUGUGUUUUUGUUUGUGUCUGUUUGGUUGUUCUUUUUCUCUAGAUAAAUGAAAGACUAAUGAGAAAUUCAUAUUCCAUAUUGUUUGUUAAUUUGGUUUGAUGUUAAUUUAAUAUAAAUUAAAGAUAAACUCUUGUAAACUAUUGUUUUUAGCUUGUAAAUACCUUGUUUUUUAUGCUUUUAGAAUCUGUUUAGGAUUAGGUUUUAUUUUUAGAAUUUAUAGUUACAUGUAGGAUUUCUUUUCUUCUAUUCCUGUUUCUGUUUUAGUUUCUCUUAGUCCUGUUUGAAGCAUUAUCAAUUGUCUUAGGUGUUUUUCAUUUUCAUGAUCUGUUUUAGUUUUUUUAAAUAAGCAUUUGUUUCAUUUUUUUUUCCUUAUAGGUUCUGUUCUCAGAUUUUAAUAUUUGGGUUCUGUUUUGGUUUUUAGAAAUAGCUUUCUAGGUUCUUUUAUAUUCAUUGCUACUGUUAGGAUUUUUUUAGGCUCUAUUUCUUUUAGAUUUGAAUCUGUUUUAGUUUGGUAGGUUCUUUUUAGGUUGCAUUCUGUCCAGUCUCAGAUUUUAUAGGUUAUAUAGUUUUAGGUCAUACUGUUAGACAUUUCUAGGUUCUUUUUGAGUUCUAUUUCAUUCUUUUCUCAAUUCUUUGCUGAUUUUAUUCUUUUCACAGUUUCAUUUCUCUUAGUUAGAACUGUUCAUGUAGUUUUCAGCUUUAGAUUCAAGUAGAUGUAAUCCUAGCAUAAUUUUUGCGUUUGAGUUCAUUUCAAUGAAGCAAUUUUUGCAUAAAAGAGAGUAGAAGGUCAGUUUUAGCAAAUUCUCUUAACCUGGGGAGAUUUUGGGCCCAAUUUUUGUUUUUCUUGAGUGAUUUCGUGCAUGUUUUACUUUUGACUCUAAUUUUGCAUUGAUUCUUUAUGAUAAGCUUGCUCUUGGUAGAAUUUAGAUAUGAUUUAGGCAAUUUUUUUCUUCAUCCAUAACCAUUUAUUUUACUCAUUUCAGUUUUUCUUACCAUUGCACCUUUCUUUUGAGCUUUAGCCAUAUUCUUUGUUCCAUUCGUUACAAGCCCUUUUCCCCGUCAAUUAUACCACCUAUAGAAACCCGAGAGGAAGUAAGGAUCUGGAACUUGGUGAGUGAAAAAGAGAAAGAAAGGCCAGUAGUGAAAGAGAAGAAAAGGAAAAUGAGCUUAGAAAUCUUAUUGAAAAAGAAGAAAGAACAGGUCUGAAAAAAAAAUAGCAAAUAAACUAAAAGAAAGUGAGACCUGAUGUGUGUAAAAAACCAGAGAGAAAGAGCAAAGAAAUUGAAUUGGCCGAAGUUAAACAUAGAGUGCACUGAGUUCUAGGUUCCUUACUUCUCUUCCAGUUUCUAUUUCCAUUUAGCCUUGUGUUUUAUGACCUUUCAUACCAUCUCAUUACAAGCCAUUAAGACCUUUUGAUCUAGAUGAAGCCAAGAGCUGAGCAUGGUCACUUAGAGUCUUUUCAAAAUUAAGAGUUGAGGUUAGCAUGUCAUGCUUGAGUGAAAGCAGACCACCUCUAAACAGUUGAGUGAAUCUAAGUGCAAAUACUUGUUCCUGUGAGGCUGAAACUGACUUAUACUUAUCUGAGUGUGUUCAUCGCUGAAAUUGGUUGAAUUUGGUUGUUUCUGAAAUGCUGGGAUUGCUAAAACUGAGGUUUGAAGUUGAGAAUUAUGAUUGUGCAGUUCUCUUUGAUGAAAUGGCUGUGAAAUGAUUGAAAUUGAAGGAUUGAGUGAAGCUGUGAAUAAAUCUUGUGUACCUUGUGUUCUGUUGAGUCUUUUCUUUCGUAAAUUGAGUUUGUUAUUUUUCUUUUUCUUUUUAGUUUGUCCCUGUCCAGGAGGGCAAUUGUCUAAGUGUGGGGUGUGAUAACUCCUUAUAUUUGCAUAUUUUUUAGUGUUUACGAGUCUUUCUUAGUUUCUUUUAGGCUUUAAAUGGGUAAAUUAGGAUAAUUUUUAGUUUUUCUUUAAAUUCUGGAGUUUUGUGAAAUUUUAGUUAAAAAUAGAUUUUUAGUGUAUUUUUUUAUACAUUUGCAAAUAAGUAGGAAAUUAACACUUUUUGAAAAUUCUUUUGAUAAAAAAUUGUUUUGUUUUAGUUAGAUUUUAAUUGCAUAAUUUUCUUCUUUUCCUUAUUUGCAAUUUAACCCUUUAAUUCAAGAAUUUUCUUUUUAUAUGGGCUGUUUUGCUAAGAUGAAAAUAUUGAUUGGGCUGAUUUGGUUGUGACUAUUUUCUGUGCAGGAAUGUGUUUUUAAUUGGGCUGCCACAAAAUUAAUUGGAACGGUGCCAUUUUGGUGUGUGGCUUGGCAGUAGCUGUUUGAUGAGGGGUCCUUGCUCAAGCAAUAGAUUGGAGUCAGACAUUCUCUACACGCACUCUCACUUUGAAGAAACUCACCCUCCAGCUAGGGCAAGGUACGAAAGGACCCUGACCGGAGGAGCUGACCGGUGCUGUCACUUGGAUGAUCAAACGGCUAGUAGAGAGCAAGGAGGAGGCAGAAUAAAGAGGACCGCUGGAUCAAGUUGAGGGUUUCGUUUUUCCUUGCCUUUUGGAGCGAAUCAUCACGAUGGUGAUAGUCUGUGGUGGCUCCAAUUGCGAUUUCUGUUAGGUACAUUUCAUGUACUUUCGUUUCUCGUUAAUAAUAAUUCCUUUCUUGAUGUUUC